rnacentral:tRNA from 1 species
GGAAAGAUGCCAGAGUGGUCGAAUGGGCCGCACUCGAAAUGCGGUGAACGGGUAACUGUUCCGGGGGUUCGAAUCCCUCUCUUUCCGC